rnacentral:rRNA from 1 species
UACGGGGGGGGCAAGCGUUGUUCGGAAUUACUGGGCGUAAAGGGCUCGUAGGCGGCCAACUAAGUCAUACGUGAAAUCCCUCGGCUUAACCGGGGAACUGCGUCUGAUACUGGAUGGCUUGAGUUCGGGAGAGGGAUGCGGAAUUCCAGGUGUAGCGGUGAAAUGCGUAGAUAUCAGGAGGAACACCGAUGGCGAAGGCAGGUCUCUGGGCAUUAACUGACGCUGAGGAGCGAAAGCAUGGGGAGCGAACAGG